rnacentral:rRNA from 1 species
UACGAAGGGGGCUAGCGUUGUUCGGAAUUACUGGGCGUAAAGCGCGUGUAGGCGGCUAAGUAAGUCGGGCGUGAAAUCCCACGGCUCAACCGUGGAAGUGCACUCGAAACUGCAUAGCUAGAGUCCUGGAGAGGAAGGUGGAAUGCUUGGUGUAGAGGUGAAAUUCGUAGAUAUCAAGCGGAACACCGGUGGCGAAGGCGGCCUUACUGGACAGUGACUGACGCUGAGGAGCGAAAGCGUGGGGAGCGAACAGG